rnacentral:rRNA from 1 species
CGGCGGACGGGUGAGUAGCACGUGGAUAACCUACCUAUAAGACUGGGAUAACUUCGGGAAACCGGAGCUAAUACCGGAUAAUAUAUUGAACCGCAUGGUUCAAUAGUGAAAGACGGUUUUGCUGUCACUUAUAGAUGGAUCCGCGCCGCAUUAGCUAGUUGGUAAGGUAACGGCUUACCAAGGCAACGAUGCGUAGCCGACCUGAGAGGGUGAUCGGCCACACUGGAACUGAGACACGGUCCAG